CCCGCGGGCCGGCACGGCGGGGCCGGAGCACAAAGAGCGGAGCGGGGCGGAGCGGAGCGGAGCGGGGCCGGCCCG
rnacentral:miRNA from 12 species